GAGAGAGAGCCAACUGCGGUGGGGGACGCCGUCACUUCGGCGGGUUCCGUGUACCACUGUGUUGGUCCAGGGCGGGCCGGCCAGGGAGACCUCAUCCGUGUAAUCAAAUCCUGCUGACCCUAAUGCGCUCCCUCCCCACGCCUUAGGCAGCAACCCCCCGCAUUGGGGGGUGGAGCCGGAUCUUAGCAAUCAAUGCUCCGCAUCCAUCCACACAGUUGGGUGCCGGUGCGGAGUAGACUAUUGCAGCUAAAGGAGGAUUCCCUGGCAGGUGGCGGACAACACAUGCCCGGCUCCUUACGCCUUCCGCUCGGUUGGAUCCGUCUGCGUAGCCGCUCAUUGCUGUUGAUUCCCCUGGGGCUGGAGGUGUAACGACCUCCAGCGACCCCCAUCGACGGCGUGGAAACCCAUCGUUUGGCACCCUCUCGCCAUUGCCCCAACCAAAACCCUCUGUGUACCCUUCCCUGUUGCUUCCCCCGGGCACCUGGCUCCGGCCAGUCGGGGGGAGAAACCAAGCAAAAACCCUUUUCGCAAAACAGACGUCUGAAUGUAAAAAAACAAAACAAAAAGUUAA
rnacentral:rRNA from 1 species